AGUGAACGCUGGCGGUAGGCCUAACACAUGCAAGUCGAACGGCAGCACAGGAGAGCUUGCUCUCUGGGUGGCGAGUGGCGGGCGGGUGAGGAAUACAUCGGAAUCUACUUUUUCGUGGGGGAUAACGGAGGGAAACUUACGCUAAUACCGCAUACGACCUACGGGUGAAAGCAGGGGACCUUCGGGCCUUGCGCGAUUGAAUGAGCCGAUGUCGGAUUAGCUAGUUGGCGGGGUAAAGGCCCACCAAGGCGACGAUCCGUAGCUGGUCUGAGAGGAUGUUCAGCCACACUGGAACUGAGACACGGUCCAGACUCCUACGGGAGGCAGCAGUGGGGAAUAUUGGACAAUGGGCGCAAGCCUGAUCCAGCCAUACCGCGUGGGUGAAGAAGGCCUUCGGGUUGUAAAGCCCUUUUGUUGGGAAAGAAAUCCAGCUGGCUAAUACCCGGUUGGGAUGACGGUACCCAAAGAAUAAGCACCGGCUAACUUCGUGCCAGCCGCCGCAGUAA
rnacentral:rRNA from 1 species